UACGUAGGGUGCAAGCGUUAAUCGGAAUUACUGGGCGUAAAGCGUGCGCAGGCGGUUUUGUAAGUCUGAUGUGAAAUCCCCGGGCUCAACCUGGGAAUUGCAUUGGAGACUGCAAGGCUAGAAUCUGGCAGAGGGGGGUAGAAUUCCACGUGUAGCAGUGAAAUGCGUAGAUAUGUGGAGGAACACCGAUGGCGAAGGCAGCCCCCUGGGUCAAGAUUGACGCUCAU
rnacentral:rRNA from 1 species